UUUUUAUAAAUAUUUAUAAAUAAAAUCUGCUCAAUGAAAUUUAAAUAGCCGCAGAAUUUUUACUGUGCUAAGGUAGCAUAAUCAUUAGUCUUUUAAUUAAAGACUUGUAUGAAAGAUUUAACAUUUCAAUUCCUUUUUUUUUUUAAUAAUAUAUUAAAAUUUAAUUAAAUAUAAAAAUGUAUUUAUUUAUAAAUUAGACGAUAAGACCCUAUUAAACUUUACUUUAGUUUAGCUGGGGAAGCUAAUUAAUUAUUAUUUUAAUUAUUAUAAAUCCACAAAAAACUAUUAAAUAUAAUUUUAAUAAGUUACUAUAGGGAUAACAGCAUAAUAUUUUUUAAAAGCUCUUAUUUAAAAAAAAGUUUAUGACCUCGAUGUUGAAUUAAUAAUUCUUUAAAAUGCAAUAAUUUUAAAAGAAAGUCUGUUCGACUUUUAAAUAAUUACA
rnacentral:rRNA from 1 species